UACGUAGGGUCCGAGCGUUGUCCGGAAUUACUGGGCGUAAAGAGCUCGUAGGUGGUUUGUCGCGUUGUUCGUGAAAACUCACAGCUUAACUGUGGGCGUGCGGGCGAUACGGGCAGACUUGAGUACUGCAGGGGAGACUGGAAUUCCUGGUGUAGCGGUGAAAUGCGUAGAUAUCAGGAGGAACACCGGUGGCGAAGGCGGCUAUCUGGACAGAGUCUGACGCUGAGGCGCGAAAGCUAGGGGAGCAAACAGG
rnacentral:rRNA from 1 species